rnacentral:rRNA from 1 species
GGAGGGAGCUAGCGUUGUUCGGAAUUACUGGGCGUAAAGCGCACGUAGGCGGCUUUGUAAGUCAGAGGUGAAAGCCUGGAGCUCAACUCCAGAACUGCCUUUGAGACUGCAUCGCUUGAAUCCAGGAGAGGUGAGUGGAAUUCCGAGUGUAGAGGUGAAAUUCGUAGAUAUUCGGAAGAACACCAGUGGCGAAGGCGGCUCACUGGACUGGUAUUGACGCUGAGGUGCGAAAGCGUGGGGGGAGCAAACAGGAUUAGAUACCCUGGUAGUCCACGCCGUAAACGAUGAUAACUAGCUGUCCGGGCACUUGGUGCUUGGGUGGCGCAGCUAACGCAUUAAGUUAUCCGCCUGGGGAGUACGGUCGCAAGAUUA